GGUGUGUUGAGGUGGAACUAAUGCCCUUGGCUGGUGAGCUGUGGUCUCCUGUUGCAGGGAAGACGGAUUUCUCUGCAAAGAAAACCAGUGCCACCUACAAAGAGACUUCCCUCAGGGGGAGCUGGGACUGGGCUCGGCACUCCAAAGUCUUCUAGGCAAGGAGAGUGCAGCCAGUCACUUCUGUUGGCCUCUGUGACAAAGGACCAUCAGCUUGGUGGCUUCAAACAACAGGAAUCAGUUUUUUGCCCCAGCACUGGACUGAAACCCAGGGGUGUAUGUGCUGCAUUCUUCCAGAGUCUCCAGAGAGGGAAAGAGGAGAGACACCACAAUACCACCCCAUCACCCAUGGUGUUCCCAUGUGGCUUUGGAGAUUGGACCCAGGGCUUCGCUCAUGAGAAGUGUUAGCAUUGAAUCCAGGACCUCAUGCAUCAAGACGUGAGCCAUCUCCCAGCC